AUUUGGGUAGCUUAAAAUAAAGCACAUCUCUGAAGAAGAUAAGAUGAGAUUCUCCCCAGAUA
rnacentral:tRNA from 1 species